rnacentral:rRNA from 1 species
UUGGAGGGCAAGUCUGGUGCCAGCAGCCGCGGUAAUUCCAGCUCCAAUAGUGUAUAUUAAAGUUGUUGCAGUUAAAAAGCUCGUAGUUGAAUUUCGGGGUUAGUAGGUUGGUCAUGCCUCUGGUAUGUACUGAUCUCACUGAUUCCUCCCUCUUGACGAACUGCAAUGUCAUUAAUUUGGUGUUGCGGGAAAUCAGGACUGUUACUUUGAAAAAAUUAGAGUGUUUAAAGCAGGCUAAGGCUUGAAUACAUUAGCAUGGAAUAAUGAAAUAGGACGUUUGAACCUAUUUUGUUGGUUUCUAGGAUCGACGUAAUGAUUAAUAGGGAUAGUUGGGGGCAUUAGUAUUCAAUUGUCAGAGGUGAAAUUCUUGGAUUUAUUGAAGACUAACUACUGCGAAAGCAUUUGCCAAGGAUGUUUUCAUUAAUCAAGAACGAAAGUUAGGGGAUCGAAGACGAUCAGAUACCGUCGUAGUCUUAACCAUAAACUAUGCCGACUAGGGAUCGGAUGAUGUUAAUUUUUUAAUGACUCAUUCGGCGCCUUACGGGAAAC